rnacentral:rRNA from 1 species
CCCUUAGAUGUCCGGGGCUGCACGCGCGCUACACUGUAGAAAGCAGCGUGCUUUAAAACCUUUCCUGAAAAGGAUGGGUAACCCCAGCAAAAUUCUACGUGCUUGGGAUAGAGAUUUGCAAUUUUCUCUCUUGAACGAGGAAUUCCCAGUAAGUGCGAGUCAUCAGCUCGCGUUGAUUACGUCCCUGCCCUUUGUACACACCGCCCGUCGCUCCUGCCGAUUGAAUGAUCCGAUGAAUACCAUGGAUUGAGAGUACGAAUAGGUUCGCUUAUUUCUGCUGCUCGAGAAGUGGAGUAAAUCUUAUCAUUUAGAGGAAGGAGAAGUCGUAACA